AAUGAUAGUUUGUACAAAGUUAAGACAUAAGCUUGCCCACAUGAAAGAUAUUUCUAACAGUAGUUUUAAGUCAAUCUUUAUGUCCCACUGAUAGCAUUAAUUGUUAACAGUAAUCUUUUGCAAAAUUCCCUCUAUAAUUUCAUAACACUGUGAGGCUUUGGCCACUUUUUAGGUUAAAGUCAUUUUUCAGUUUACAAUUUUAUUGUCAACAUUUUAAUACAAUCAUAAUCAUUACGCGAUCACACAUUUAAGAUUUAAACUGAAUGAGCUCGUUGUCUUGCAGUAAUUAUUUCUUUGCUGUGUUGAAACACCGAGUACUGUAACAGAAGAAAUGUUGCUUUCGAAUUGGUUUUACUGAGGCCUCAAGUAGAUAUGUAUAGAAAUUUUCUUUCUAUUGUAAAACAUGCAAAUAUCAAGAAACGAAUGUGUCUUUGUUCUUCAAUUCAUAACAGUAGGGGAACUUGUCUUUAUCUGAAGAAUUAUUUUUCAUAUUUAGGAAAAAAAGCUUGUGGCAACUGUCUUCUCUGAGCAGCGGUCUUGUGAACAUGGGCCUCAGUACAAUAAAGGUGUCUGAUGUUGGUACAGUCUGGGCACUAGUAUCUGUUGGCUUGCUGACUAUCACUGAAGAUGAAGUACUUCUCCAAAUCUUCUCUGCCUUGACCCUGUGUCUUCUGUCAUCAUUGUUCAGUGUAGUACUGCAAAGAACAGUUUCCAGGGUCUACCUCCAACAUUUGCUUCUGGACCGCCAUGUGCUACGUUUGGAUUACUGGUACAUGUGGAUUACCCUGAUACUGUGAAGAACACUUACAAUAUGAUGCUUGACUUGGGACAGAAAAAAAAAAUUGGCAACUUGUGUGGCCAAAUCAUUGCCAUACUUAAUCUCAUCAUACUGCUACCUCUGCUGUUUAGCAUAAACAAAAGCAGACUGUUUUUGCUUUGUUUCAAAAUGUUUGUAAUACAAGUUAAAACUGCAUUGAAAAAUAUAAAAAAUAUAUUAUCUUAAACUUUGAACUGUUACUGCCUUUGAUUUAUGUGUAACUGUGUGUGAAGAAUAGAACAUUGUUGACAUGAAUUUGUAAUGGAUGUUUGAAGCAUUUAAGUUACUGGAGUAACGGUAACUUGUUUUAAGGCAAUUGGUUAAAACUAGAUUGCUGUUCAAGUAAAUACAACUUAGAAAUUCCAAGUUGCAGGAAAUGUUACUUGAUUUAGCUAAACUUAAAUUAGUUGUUUGAAAACUCACAUAGUAUAUUGUACUUAAUCAUUUAGUUGUUGAAAAUAGUGAUUCUGAGUUACAAGAACUUGCGUGUAAGUUUACAACACUAAAUAAACCUUUGUUAGUACAAAUUACUAUUCUUAUUUCACUUUACUUGGUUUUUUCAAGGCAAUCGGUUUGCAUGCUUUUUUAAAAUAACUAAUUAGAAUUUACUGUGCAGAAAACUUCCCUUCCCAGUGAACACUAGUGAGAUCAACUCAGAACACUGUAGCUGUAAUAAAGUACUGUUAUUGUAGUUACUAUACUGUACUACACUGUGUGAUUCUUUCAGCUCUCUCUUCAGUGCUACACUGUAAAAAAUAAGUGUCAUUUUAACUGUACAAUUUUGUAAAAACGCUACAAAAAAAAAGUGUUAAUAGGUUAACAGUAAGUUCCUGUACUAUAUACAGGGAAAAACACUAUAUACAGUAAAAUGCUGUUAAUUUUACAGUUUUUUUAGAAAUAAAAAGAACAAAUCAAUGUAUAAUUUACAGUCAAAAACUGUAAACUGAUAUUCCCAGAAUUCCCUGUGUGACGCUCCACAUUUGAAAGUAUUUUGUUUAAAUAAUCAUGUUUUUUAAUAGUUUUUUGUUAUCAGUUGUACAUUUGGGCUUUAUGUUACAUCUUCUGCUGUUUAAUGAAAGUUUAUUGAAUUGUUUAAGUAUCGUGUGUCACCAUGAUGGUGUUUUGUGUUUGCAUGAAUGACUUUGUGCACCUUCUAUAUAUUAAUAUAAACUUCUGCUUGUGGCGAAGCUACUUGUGAUGAACUUCGAUUCUUCAUGUGGCUUUCUCUUUUACCACCUGCAUUAUUAUGGUGGUUGUCAGUAUGUUAAAGGUACAAAACAGAUUUUAAUAGCAGUGUGCGUUGUUGAAUUUACUGGUUUACAUUCAAAUUUUCUUGUUUGUAAAUAACAGUUUUAUACUGUAAAAUUUACAGUUUUUGGCCGUAAUUGUGUUUACAGUUUUUCUGUAUUUUUUACAAAAGUAUUCUGGCAACCACAGCUGCCAAAAUUAUUUUGUAAAAACUACAGACUUUUUUUUACAGUGUACCAUGAGCGCUCAGACUGACCUGAGAUUUGCCCCGCAAACAUUUCAGCAGUUAUUAUAGGCCCGUCUGUCCCGCAUUUCUGUCGACUGAACCAGCCAUGCCAUUAAUUAUGAAUUUAUCAGUCUUUUGCAUGCCAAAGUAAGUUUCUUCAUAUACAUAUUACGCCAAAUAGAAGCAGAAAUAUUUCAUCAUGAGAUCGGGUUAGCCCGCAACAAUUAAUUUGUUGGCUAUUUUACAAAUGGGAAUACAAAUAAUUCAUGACAAUAUUUAAAAUUCAAGCUGCCCAUAAAAUUUAUAGUGAAAAGUACUUUAAAAGCAUCUGGAAUGCAAUAAAGUGUUUUUAAAGCUGUAUUUUAAAGCAUUUGCUGAAUGGAUAAUAUAUAUUUUUUUAAAUAGGAUAAAAUAAAAAAUAAAUAAAAAAAACUCUGUGCGUACCCUCUGGAAAUUUUUUUUAUUUAUUUAUUUAUUUAUUUAUUUAUUAUGUAUUUUACUGUCGAAUAUAUAUUACAUAAACAUAUGAAAUAUAGAACAAAUAAAAAAAAAGUGUUCGUGGCUCGUCUGCCAGUGGGUGCCCCCCCCCAAGCAUAAAAGUGAAACUCCGCCUAUGAUUGACAGUCGUGUACAAUCCUGGUACAAUCCCUGUGGUAUAAUCAGACGGGCUC
ensembl:lncRNA